rnacentral:rRNA from 1 species
CCUACGGGAGGCAGCAGUGAGGAAUAUUGGUCAAUGGACGAGAGUCUGAACCAGCCAAGUAGCGUGAAGGAUGACUGCCCUAUGGGUUGUAAACUUCUUUUAUAUGGGAAUAAAAUGUUCCACGUGUGGGAUUUUGUAUGUACCAUAUGAAUAAGGAUCGGCUAACUCCGUGCCAGUAGCCGCGGUAAUACGGAGGAUCCGAGCGUUAUCCGGAUUUGUUGGGGUUAAAGGGAGCGUAGGUGGAUUGUUAAGUCAGUUGUGAAAGUUUGCGGCUCAAACGUAAAAUUGCAGUUGAAACUGGCAGUCUUGAGUACAGUAGAGGUGGGCGGAAUUCGUGGUGUAGCGGUGAAAUGCUUAGAUAUCACGAAGAACUCCGAUUGCGAAGGCAGCUCACUGGACUGCAACUGACACUGAGGCUCGAAAGUGUGGGUAUCAAACAGGAUUAGAUACCCUGGUAGUC